rnacentral:lncRNA from 7 species
AUGCCCCCCCCCGCCAACCUGCCCAGCCUGAAGGCCGAGAAUAAAGGAAACGACCCCAACGUGGCGCUCGUGCCCAGAGACGGAUCGGGAUGGGCCAGCAGCCGCCACGACAGCGACCCCAAGAGGUGGGAGGGGGAACUGCAGCCAAAGGGGGGGGAAUGGGACCCCAAGAGGUGGGAGGGGGAACUGCAGCCAAGGGGGGGGAAUGGGGGGGAAUGGGACCCCAAGAGGUGGGAGGGGGAACUGCAACUGGGGGGGUUAAUGGGGGGGAAUGGGCCGGCAGCCGCCACGACAGCGACCCCAAGAGGUGGGAGGGGGAACUGCAGCCAAAGGGGGGGAAUGGGGGGAAUGGGGUUAAUGGGAUGGCAGCCGCCACGACAGCGACCCCAAGAGGUGGAAGGGGAAGUGCAGCCAGGGGGGGAAUGGGGGGGAAUGGGACCCCAAGAGGUGGGAGGGGGAACUGCAACUGGGGGGUUAAUGGGGGAGAAUGGGGGUUAAUGGGAUGGCAGCUGCCAUGACAGUGACCCCAAGAGGUGGAGGGGGAACUGCAGCCAAGGGGGGGUUAAUGGGGGGGGGAAUGGGACCCCAAGAGGUGGGAGGGGAACUGCAGCCAAGGGGGGGGGGAAUGGGGGGCAAUGGGUCGGCAGCCGCCACGACAGCGACCCAAGAGG